CCUACGGGAGGCAGCAGUAGGGAAUCUUCCACAAUGGACGAAAGUCUGAUGGAGCAACGCCGCGUGAGUGAAGAAGGUUUUCGGCUCGUAAAGCUCUGUUGUAAGUGAAGAAAGAUAGAGGUAGUAACUGGCCUAUAUUUUGCGGUAAUUUUUCAGAAAGUGACGGCUUACUACUUGCCCGCAGCCGUGGUAAUAAGUAGGUGGCAAGGGUUGUCCGGAGUUUUUUGGUGUAAAGAGAGUGGCGGCGGUUCAGUAAGUCUGAUGUGAAAGCUUUCGGCUCAAACGGAGAAUUGCAUGAGAAACUGUUGAACUUGAGUGCAGAAGAGGAGAGUGGAACUCCAUGUGUAGCGGUGGAAUGCGUAGAUAUAUGGAAGAACACCAGUGGCGAAGGCGGCUCUCUGGUCUGCAACUGACGCUGAGGCUCGAAAGCAUGGGGAGCGAACAGGAUUAGAUACCCGUGUAGUC
rnacentral:rRNA from 1 species